GAAGAUUUAGUUAAUAAAUAACAUUAGAGUGUCAAUCUAAAAUUAUCUUUAAGAUACUCUUCU
rnacentral:tRNA from 3 species